rnacentral:rRNA from 1 species
CAGGGAAUAUUGCGCAAUGCCCAAAUGGGUGACGCAGCAACGCCGCGUGGGUGAUGAAGUUCUUCGGAAUGUAAAACCCUGUCGGAGGGGAAGAAACUCUCAAAGGCAAAUAAUCUUUGGGACUGACGGUACCCUCAGAGGAAGCUCCGGCCAACUCCGUGCCAGCAGCCGCGGUAAUACGGGGGGAGCGAGCGUUGUUCGGAAUCACUGGGCGUAAAGGGUGUGUAGGCGGGCGGAUAAGUCAGACGUGAAAAUCUAAAGCUUAACUUUGGACCUGCGUUUGAAACUGUUUGUCUUGAGUACGGGAGAGGAAAGUGGAAUUCCUGGUGUAGCGGUGAAAUGCGUAGAUAUCAGGAGGAAUACCGGUGGCGAAGGCGGCUUUCUAGCCCGAUACUGACGCUGAGACACGAAGGCUAGGGGAGCAAACAGGAUUAGAUACCCUGGUAGUCCUAGCGGUAAACGUUGGGCACUAGGUGUUGUCCCUUAACCGGGGCAGUGCCGCAGCUAACGCAUUAAGUGCCCCGCCUGGGGAGUACGACCGCAAGGUUG